AUGAUUCACAGGAAGCUUUUUCCAUCUGCCAGGUUUGAGAACACCAGUCUCCACACGACCCACAGGUACAGUACCAAUACCACCAAUUUUAUAGACAUCCUGGAGAGGCAAACGCAAGGGUUUGUCAGUUGGGCGAGUUGGUGGCAGGAUGCAAUCCAGAGCUUCAAGCAGGGUGGUUCCACUGGCAUUGCCGUCCUUACGGGUGACUUUCCAUCCCUUGAACCAUGGCAUAUUAGCACUUGGCUCCAGCAUGUUGUCACCAUUCCAGCCAGAAAUUGGCACAAAUGCUACUGUGUCGGGGUUGUAGCCAAUUUUCUUAAUGUAGGUGCUGACUUCCUUAACAAUUUCCUCGUAUCUCUUCUGGCUAUAGGGUGGCUCAGUAGAAUCCAUUUUGUUAACGCCAACAAUUAGUUGUAGAUAGAAAAAGGCAUCAAAAUGACCCAGAAAGAUGAGGCUGGCAGGGUUAGCAUGUCAUAAUCUUACUCUAACCCAAACAAGUUUCUGAUGGUAAAAGUGAUACACAACCAAAAUAUCCAUCACAAAUGGAUAUUAAAUCCAUCUGAAUUUCCAGAAGAUUUACUUCAGCUUAGAAAGCAAUUUUACAAAGCCAAGUAUGGGGGACUUAAUUAUCACAGAGCCCCACAAAAAUCACAAACACCUCCAGGGGGAUUUAAACUGAAUUGCUGGAAAAGAAUUUCACAGCACGCAGUAACAUAUUCUUGAAUAGAGUCAGAGUCAUCAGACAUUUCAGCCCAUCAAUCACCAUUUUCUUUACUGUGCAAGCUGCCAACAAGUAGAUAAAGUAACUCAUAAACACACCAGUCAUUCUAGCAAAAGAAAAUUUUACUGUUGUCACAAUAGGCCUAUAACACUUAAAGAAGCCAUGUGUUAGAAAAAUUAAGGAUCUCCUGUGAACUGAAGCACCUUCGUACGGGUGAACUAUUUCCAUAGAAUGACAUUUUACAGUUUUCAUUUCUAGAUAUUCAGUGGAUUAUUUUAACAAGCAUUUUAGGAUGAAACUUUGAUAAAGAUUUGUAUAACAGAUAUUAUUAUUAGGUUGGCCAAAAAGUUAAUUCAGUUUUAAGUAAUAAUAAGACACAUUUUCCAUUUUUACCAAGGACUUUAUUGAACAACAUAUUCACUGAACCAAUUGGUCAACUCAAUAUAAAGAACUGUAUAUAAUAUGGCUUAAUUUUACUGCUUGAAGGCACAUGCUACUUAAUUUUGAUCACUCUGGAAUUAAACUUUGUCAUACUCAUAAAAGUCCCUAUAUCCACUCCUAAGGGACAUUUUAACUACAGGAAAGUUUCAUAUUAAACUUCACAUUUAGGUGGAAAAUAUAUUUACCAAUAAUCCAUAAAAAUGUUAUAUCCUUCUUUCCUGCUUUAUGGGAAAAAAAAAUCCCUCCUAAUAAGAAAGAUCUAUGAAGACUAAAAUAAUAAUUUUAAAUGUUAUAUAUAAAAUGGGCAUUUUUGUUCCUUUGGCAGAAGUGAUGGUUUAUAUCUGCAGCCUUAGAGGAUUAAUGCUCCUUUUAAACAUCAUUUAAUAAAGUUCCCCUCUAUGGCUGUCAAAAUUCAGAAAUCAUAGAGACAUGUCUUCUAUACUGUAGACCACCUUCUCAGCAGGAAAGUCAAAUCAAUGGGUAAUAAAAGGUGCAAACCAAAACUACAUUAAACUCUAUAUUGCAAAACACAUGUAGAAGUAUUAAGUUACUAAUUUGUGAUGUCUAUGGCCAUUACAGAGUUCAAAAAGAAAGUGUGGGUUGAAACUGCUAAAGUAUAUCUCACUUUGAGCAAAGUCGAUAGGCUCCAAACUGUAUUAAUAUAAAUACAGGGAGGAAUGCUUAAGAACAUGAUUCUUUUCUAUUAUAAAUCCUUUGUGAACAUAUCCUUUAAAAACCAAGCUUUCCUAUUAUAUUUCAAUUAGAAUGUGAUUUGAGCUUUGAUGUAAAGAGAGGUUAAAAAAAAAAAAAAGCAGUAGAGUAUGGAAGAAGGACCCGGAAAUAAAAUGAGUCAAAUUUUCUGACAGCUCUUGCAGUAGCCAAUUCUGCAAGAACCACUUUGUUCAUGACACAUCAUUAUCACUAAAGCACAGAGCUGAGCUACAUGACUUUUAAAGUCAUUCCAGCUCUAAAACUUUAGACCUUGAUGAAUCCAGCAAAGCAGAGAAAGUCUUUGUUUUACACUGAUGCUUAGGCUUUGCCUAGGAAUAAGAACUCCUUCUAACUAAUAGGCCAGAAGAAUCCCAAAUCUUAUAGGCUAAGAGAG
rnacentral:lncRNA from 1 species